AUUGAUAUUCUCUUUUAAACUUGAUAGUUUCUGUAAGGCACUCAAAGCUGAGAAUUUAGCUUCAAGCUUCCCGCCAUUAAACAUCUUAACCAAUGGCUCGAUAGCACCAUCUUCACCGAGAGAAGCUUUACAUUGAUCUGUAAUGAACAAGGGGCUUGAAGUAACUGGCUUCCGCCAUAUGAAUUGCAUUCUGUGUAUUAUUUGAAAGAGCAUUCAACAACUUUUCUGCAUCAUUUGAGGCCACUGAAUCAUCUCCGUUCAAAAUGGCGGCUAGCAUCACUAUGCAGCCCUGAAUCCGACCAACCCUUCUCCCAAAAGCAGCCAUAUCCGAUAAGCUUAACAUCAACCCUACUGCUUCCCUUCUCUCCUCCACAUCUCUAGCCAGCGAUUUCACCAAAAUCCCCAUUGACCCGUUGUCUGUCAUCUUCUCCUUAUUUUGAGAAGAGUGGGCUAUCAAGAGUCUUAAUGUCUGAAGCACAGUCAACCGAUUAACAAGCAUACUCGAACCCAACCUAUUGAACAAGAUUUGAACGAUCCCUUCUUCAUUUAUCCAAUCGUUCGUUAUAGAAUUGUCUCUAAUCAAGGAGUUGAAUCCGGAUAAUGCUCGUCCGAAUUCGUCGUCAGCUCCAUACUUGAGUUGCAAAACUAUAUCAUCAAUAUCCAAGUUAAUCUCCCCUUCCGACUCUUCCUGAUCAGUAGUAGUCUCCAUCGGCUCUAUUUCAGGAUAUUCGUAAUAAUCAAUAUCCAAUUCCGAAUAGCUGUUGGGUCUGGAUGAUACAAACCUGGCUCCCAUCAUUUCCUUUCGCAAAUCCUCCAUCUCUUCUCUCUUAUCUAUCAGUAUAAUCUUUCGUGUAGCGAAAAGGACUAGACCCAGAGUCCUUCCCAAAUGAUGAAUCAUAUGCUCCAUCUGUUUAGCAGUGGAAUAUGUGAAGUCAUCGGUGCUUGGUGUCAUAGCCUUGUCAGCUCGCAGGAGCUCGACUUCAAGAGAUUCCACAGUUUUACGUACGGUGUUGAUAUCCAUGAACUUGCAGCACUUCAAUUCAUCUAGAAUUGGCCUCAGUUUGUCGAGGAAAGCUGUAUAUUCAGACAUGGCUUGGCUCUGGAUUUCCAUCUCCUUCGCUAUGGGUAUAUAUAUGAAUGUAUGAUGAGACUAAACAGAGAGAGACGACUUGGAAAUAGGUUAAUUUCUCCUGUGUGUGGAAAGACCAGUUUAACGUGUGAUAUAGUCUUGGAUUGUAUUGACCCAGUUAUUUGCUUAAGCUAUACACUCCAUUACAGCCAUGACGAAGAAGAAGAAGAAGACUUUGAAUUGCUUGAGAAAUAAAAUGGAAGGUAGCUGUUGGCUAUUAGUAAGCAACAUUGAGGUAUGGUUUGAUUCAGCUUUUUUUUUUUUUAAUUAUCGAGAACUAGACUAACAUCACACACCACCAACCUAUAUUCUUCCGUUUCUAUUCAAAACGCUUUCGCA